rnacentral:rRNA from 1 species
AUUGAACGCUGGCGGCAGGCCUAACACAUGCAAGUCGAGCGGAUGAGUGGAGCUUGCUCCAUGAUUCAGCGGCGGACGGGUGAGUAAUGCCUAGGAAUCUGCCUGGUAGUGGGGGACAACGUUUCGAAAGGAACGCUAAUACCGCAUACGUCCUACGGGAGAAAGCAGGGGACCUUCGGGCCUUGCGCUAUCAGAUGAGCAUAGGUCGGAUUAGCUAGUUGGUGAGGUAAAGGCUCACCAAGGCGACGAUCCGUAACUGGUCUGAGAGGAUGAUCAGUCACACUGGAACUGAGACACGGUCCAGACUCCUACGGGAGGCAGCAGUGGGGAAUAUUGGACAAUGGGCGAAAGCCUGAUCCAGCCAUGCCGCGUGUGUGAAGAAGGUCUUCGGAUUGUAAAGCACUUUAAGUUGGGAAGAAGGGCAGUAAGUUAAUACCUUGCUGUUUCGACGUUACCGACAGAAUAAGCACCGGCUAACUUCGUGCCAGCCGCCGCCGUAAAAC